rnacentral:rRNA from 1 species
CUACGGGGUGCUGCAGUGAGGAAUAUUGCACAAUGGGGGGAACCCUGAUGCAGCAACGCCGCGUGGAGGAUGACGCAUUUCGGUGUGUAAACUCCUUUUAUAUGUCAAGAAAAUGACGGUAGCAUAUGAAUAAGCACCGGCUAACUCCGUGCCAGCAGCCGCGGUAAUACGGAGGGUGCAAGCGUUACUCGGAAUCACUGGGCGUAAAGGACGCGUAGGCGGGUUGGAAAGUCAGGUGUGAAAACCUACAGCUUAACUGUAGAACUGCACUUGAAACUUCUAAUCUAGAGUAUGGGAGGGGGAGAUGGAAUUAGUGGUGUAGGGGUAAAAUCCGUAGAUAUCACUAGGAAUACCUAAAGCGAAGGCGAUCUCCUGGAACAUUACUGACGUUAAGGCGUGAAAGCGUGGGGAGCAAACAGGAUUAGAUACCCUCGUAGUC